UACCUAAACGCAUUUGCUUUUUUUUUAUCUCCUGGGUCGAGCGUGUCCAGCGGUUCAAGCUGAAUCGAGAUGCGGGAGGGAGCGGGUGAGCGGCGGCGAGCAGCGGGUGGAUCUGCACCGACCGUGCCAUCGGCAGCGUCGUGGUUGGCUGGCCGGAUCGGUGUGGUCUCUGGCGUGCUGCAGGCGAGCUGUGGCCGCGGGCGGCGAUGCGGCGACAUCGGCAUCCUGGUCAGGCAGCGCGGGGAUCGUGCGUGCGGCGGUAUCGGCCUCGUGGUCCGGCAGCACGCGGGUCGUGGCUGCGGGCGGCAUCAGCGUCAUGGUGAGCCAGUGGCGGUGGGCGGCGCUGCCGGCGGCAUCCGCACCAUGAUGGGCAGCGGGCACCUUCAGCCUUGCUGCUGGUUGUUUCAAAACGGCGGAGCAUGACAGCGGUCUUCGAUAGAAGGUACUAUGGCUGCUCAGUCGUUUCUUUAUUCCGAACUAGCAAGGAGCCAAUGAGGACAAGUUCGUGUAUGAACUGAAGCAUGUUAAAAAAAAUCCGAUGCAAAUUUUGGUUAAUUGACUAUCAAGGCACUGCUCCUAAACAAAAACAACAAGUAGUGAGUAUAAAUUUGUACCAAAUAAACCGCCAAGAUCCAGCAGCCCGCGACCAGAUCAUGUCGCCGCCGAGCUCCAGCCAACAGCGACGAGGUCGUGUCGCUGCCGGUCUGGCCUCGUGCCCCAGGUUCCUGUAGUCUGCGGCUAGCGCCAGUCACCCCUGUCCUUGCCAUAGGAGCGCCGCCGUUUACCUCGUAUCCAAUCCUCCGGCUGGCCCUCGUUUCCAACCUCUCCUGCCGUCCUCGACUCCUGGUCGUCUCCAAUUGAUCCGGUAAAAUUGUCUUUGUUGAAUUGAAUUUUUUUAUUGAAAAGCUUGCAUGAUCCUGUCUUGACUAGAUUUUUAAAAACUACAUGCAAUUGAACAAAUAAAGAAGUAUGUCUGUCAAGUGUGCCGUCUGCUAUGGGAAUUAUUAGUCUUUUGCAAUUUCUUUACCUUGCUGAUAUGUAUUAAAUUUCAGCUCAGCUCAUGUAGUUAUAUUAUUAUUGCGCCUGGGGUUUGCUACAUGGUGAUACCUUUUUGUUACAAAUAUGGGUCUUUUGAUUAGCCAUUUGCUUCUCCUUUUUUGUGCUAUCCCUAUGGUUAUACAUAACUUUGUUAUUCGUAAAUGCUUCUCACAUUUUCAGCUUCCUAGUUGCAAUUUUUUCAUGUGCUUGAAAAUUGAUGAGUGUGACCUGUUAGUUUCUUUGCUUCCAGCUUUGAUCGUGUCAUAAGCCUAUUAGAUUUUUUCUAUAAGAACUAACACUGAUUCAGUAUGACCAAUGUAUAUUCGGUGUGGUAAAAUCAUUGUGGAGAUAUUUCAGUAGCUGACCUUUGAGGAUAAAUGACAUUAUAGGAUUUUUAAGCUUAUAAUUCCCACACUCCAUUCUACAGGUUGACUGAAUUCUAAAUGGUUGCAUGAUAAUCGGUCCUUGCAGUUGACACAGGUGUGAGUUGUGAUUGCUGCCUUCAACUAGUUCAUAAUUUUUAUGUAUCAUGCAACUUCGAAGGAGCUAAUUGCUAUGGACUGCUCUCUUUUUUGUAAGAAGGUUGUAUCCCCUGAAGCACCAAUCUGUGGCCCAUUCUUUUUUCCUUGGAGGGCUUAGUGUCCCUUCUUCUGGACAUAAUACAUGCUAGCUGUGGCUAAUCGGGGGUAGAAGAUUCAAUCCUUAUUUGAUGGCUGCUGACAGGGAGCUGCAGUACUGCAUACAUCAAGAAUCCAUGGAACAUGUGCGAUUCCACUUCUUAGCUUGUCCAACAGCUUCUUCCCCUCAAAUGAGAUUUAACACCCAUUUGGCGUAUUUUUGCAACAAACCUGGAACAAACAAGGUCAAAGAUGGAGAUGGGUCAUUCGAGUUCAAAACUGAUGCGGGGCAAAUGAUCAGAAGGCUUGACACUAGUGUGCCAGCUCCAACAAGGUGCUGAUGAAGUGCCCUUCAGCACCUUGAUUAACCGGCAAACAUAGUGCAGUAUAGAUUAAGUCGAGUCAUGUACAAUUAAUUCCUUUGUGUUUGAUAGGCACGUUAUUCAGACCACGCUGAUAUUUAUCUUAUGGGCACAUGAGGUUAUGCCGACAUGUAAAUCUAUUUUAUAUACCCUUUAACGCAAUCAAGGUAUAAGAGUUGUUGGGUGUAUCA